AGUACAGUCGGGGACGAGUCCAAGAGGCCCUUUGCCAAUUCCAACUGGAACAUCCAACAUCGGACACUAAUCCAGCCAACUGCCAUAACUACAGCUUUGAUUAGACAAGAGACUGAUUUCAACAACUUUCUCCUGAUAAGAAGAUCAUGGACUAUGGAAUGGACUGGUUCUGGUUUACAGAGGCUGUGUACUUGCGUGCCUUGAUGUCCUGAAAGACCUUUUGACAGAUAGGGCCUAAUGGUAAUACAUUUAAAUGUCAAGUCACCAUCCCAAAGUGAAUAUACAUGAGUCGUAUGUUACAUGCAUGUUUCUUCAAUAUGCAUGUAUCAGGACCACCUUCAUGAAUAUUCACAGCUCCUCCUGUAAACUGUUGAAUGUGUAAGUUUAGCCAACCUGUUCAGUCUAAAGCUCCUGCCUCAAAGCCUCCCCCUUCAAAGUGCCCGUCUCUGUUUCUGCUGGAGUCAGCUCCCCAGCCUCCAGGAUGGCUACCUUGCAGGUUGUACCCGUUUAGAAGAAAUAAAGUCCCCAUCUCCUUUUCUUUU